rnacentral:rRNA from 1 species
GAUGAACGCUGGCGGCGUGCCUAAUACAUGCAAGUCGAGCGAACGGACGAGAAGCUUGCUUUUCUGAUGUUAGCGGCGGACGGGUGAGUAACACGUGGAUAACCUACCUAUAAGACUGGGAUAACUUCGGGAAACCGGAGCUAAUACCGGAUAAUAUUUUGAACCGCAUGGUUCAAAAGUGAAAGACGGUCUUGCUGUCACUUAUAGAUGGAUCCGCGCUGCAUUAGCUAGUUGGUAAGGUAACGGCUUACCAAGGCAACGAUGCAUAGCCGACCUGAGAGGGUGAUCGGCCACACUGGAACUGAGACACGGUCCAGACUCCUACGGGAGGCAGCAGUAGGGAAUCUUCCGCAAAGGGCGAAAGCCUGGCGGAGCAACGCCGCGUGAGUGAUGAAGGUCUUCGGAUCGUAAAACUCUGUUAUUAGGGAAGAACAUAUGUGUAAGUAACUGUGCACAUCUUGACGGUACCUAAUCAGAAAGCCACGGCUAACUACGUG